CCUACGGGAGGCAGCAGUGGGGAAUAUUGCACAAUGGGCGAAAGCCUGAUGCAGCGACGCCGCGUGAGGGAUGACGGCCUUCGGGUUGUAAACCUCUUUCAGCAGGGAAGAAGCGAAAGUGACGGUACCUGCAGAAGAAGCGCCGGCUAACUACGUGCCAGCAGCCGCGGUAAUACGUAGGGCGCAAGCGUUGUCCGGAAUUAUUGGGCGUAAAGAGCUCGUAGGCGGCUUGUCACGUCGGGUGUGAAAGCCCGGGGCUUAACCCCGGGUCUGCAUUCGAUACGGGCUAGCUAGAGUGUGGUAGGGGAGAUCGGAAUUCCUGGUGUAGCGGUGAAAUGCGCAGAUAUCAGGAGGAACACCGGUGGCGAAGGCGGAUCUCUGGGCCAUUACUGACGCUGAGGAGCGAAAGCGUGGGGAGCGAACAGGAUUAGAUACCCUGGUAGUCCACGCCGUAAACGGUGGGAACUAGGUGUUGGCGACAUUCCACGUCGUCGGUGCCGCAGCUAACGCAUUAAGUUCCCCGCCUGGGGNGUACGGCGCAGACGUAACUAAGAAGUGAGCGNGAGAGNGCGAGCGACACGAGGAGAG
rnacentral:rRNA from 1 species